rnacentral:rRNA from 1 species
AGCGAACGCUGGCGGCAGGCCUAACACAUGCAAGUCAAACGAAGUCUUCGGACUUAGUGGCGGACGGGUGAGUAACACGUGGGAACGUGCCCUUUGGUACGGAAUAACUCAGGGAAACUUGAGCUAAUACCGUAUGUGCCCUUCGGGGGAAAGAUUUAUCGCCAUUGGAGCGGCCCGCGUCUGAUUAGCUAGUUGGUGAGGUAAAGGCUCACCAAGGCGACGAUCUGUAGCUGGUCUGAGAGGAUGAUCAGCCACAUUGGGACUGAGACACGGCCCAAACUCCUACGGGAGGCAGCAGUGGGGAAUCUUGCGCAAUGGGCGAAAGCCUGACGCAGCCAUGCCGCGUGAAUGAUGAAGGUCUUAGGAUUGUAAAAUUCUUUCACCGGGGACGAUAAUGACGGUACCCGGACAAGAAGCCCCGGCUAACUUCGUGCCAGCCGCCGCCGUAAAAC